CAUCCCAAUCCACUGGACCUGGGAGGUUCCCUUUUUUUUUGUACCACCAGACAGUACAGGGCUCACUGCCUGCUGCCUUCUUGACAUCAGGGAAGAUGCUCCUCUUUAUGUCCUGGAUUUACCAGGAAAAAAAUCCUGGAUUCACUCUAGAACCUCAGCAAAAUCCUGAUCCUUUUCUCUAAACAUUGAUGGGAAUUAUCUUAAAUGCAAGAUCAGCCCCACUCUUGUCCUUCCACUGUUAAUGAAAAUGCUUUAAUUUAAACCUGCCUCUCUCUUCCUACAGCUCAGCUCUGCUAUGAUGUCAUGCAACACCUGCGAGCCAAACACAACCUAGGUAAUCUCUGGAUAGGACUGGCUCAACUUUUGUACAGCUGUUCUUUGAAAGGAUAAUUGCAGGCAUGAGUUUCAGGGUAAUAAGCAGAGAUAACCUUUUAUCUGCCAGCAAUAAAAUGAAUUCCAGUAUCCUGUCUCACUGCAGUGGAACCAGGGGAAACUCCCUCCUUCACUGCAUUUUAUGGAAGGGAACAGGCAAGAUCGAGCACCGGUUGUGUCAGUCAGUGUCACUGAGGAGGUAACCAGAACCAAUCUGUCCAAAACCAGCAAAGUUUGGUGAAGCUCUUGAGCUGGAUUAAACUCAGGAGGGGUUUAUCUCGCAGCACACAGGCAAGCUGCUCAUGCAACACCAGCCAGGGAUGCACAGAGAGCAGUGUCCUGGCAGCCCGUCCACCUGCACCAACAUCUUGGGUUAAGAGGACAUGGGAAGCCCAAAGAGAGGUCUAAAUGCCCCAAAUGACCUUUUGUUCCCCCAGUGCCUGAUGUCACCAUCUCAGCCAGGGGCUCAGCAUCUUCCAGGAACCCAGGGCUGCAUCACAAAGGAACAGCGGGACAGAGGCACGGAACCCGAAGCAUUGUCUGGAUUUAUGUCUCAUAAAUAAACUGCCUCGUAAAUAUGCCUUGUAAAUAAAAUAAAUACAGUAGUAGUGAUUUCUUUUGGUCUCAUCAACUGAGAAGUUUACACCAGGGCAAGACGCUGCCAAAAGUACUGGUCUUGUCCCCCACCUUACUCCAGCCCUUCUCCCCAUCCCAGUCUUGGCUCAGCAUCGGCAGUUUUUGGCUGGGAGAGUUGGCUUUUGGAUGGGCUCAUUCCUGGCUUGCAGCCACUUCAUUUAUUGCCAGUGAACUGACUUGUUUGAGCUGAGAAGGAUCAACAGAUGAAAGAAAUCUGUGUAUUUGUGGGGGAAAGACAGGGCAAAUGCCAAGGAAAUAUGGCUGGGAAGCAGCUGGAAAGCCAAGUCUGAGUUUUGGCGGCAAAGGGCAGUGAGUGACUGGCAGCAGAGCAGUAAAAGGCCCCCCCGGGCCCUUGGGUGGGGCACACGGGGCACGGCUGCACCUGAGCCCUUCCUGCUCCUGUUUGUCCAGCGAGUGCUG